rnacentral:rRNA from 1 species
GAUGAACGCUGGCGGCGUGCCUAAUACAUGCAAGUCGAGCGAAUGGAUUAAGAGCUUGCUCUUAUGAAGUUAGCGGCGGACGGGUGAGUAACACGUGGGUAACCUGCCCAUAAGACUGGGAUAACUCCGGGAAACCGGGGCUAAUACCGGAUAACAUUUUGAACCGCAUGGUUCGAAAUGGAAAGGCGGCUUCGGCUGUCACUUAUGGCUGGACCCGCUUCGCAUUAGCUAGUGGGUGAGGUACCGGCUCACCAAGGCAACGAUGCGUAGCCGACCUGAGAGGGUGAUCGGCCACACUGGGACUGAGACACGGCCCAGACUCCUACGGGAGGCAGCAGUAGGGAAUCUUCCGCAAUGGACGAAAGUCUGACGGAGCAACGCCGCGUGAGUGAUGAAGGCUUUCGGGUCGUAAAACUCUGUUGUUAGGGAAGAACAAGUGCUAGUUGAAUAAGCUGGCACCUUGACGGUACCUAACCAGAAAGCCACGGCUAACUACGUGCCAGCCGCCGCAGUAA